CUACGGGGUGCUGCAGUGGGGAAUAUUGGACAAUGGGCGGAAGCCUGAUCCAGCCAUGCCGCGUGUGUGAAGAAGGCCUUUUGGUUGUAAAGCACUUUAAGCGAGGAGGAGGCUCCUUUAGUUAAUACCUAAAGAGAGUGGACGUUACUCGCAGAAUAAGCACCGGCUAACUCUGUGCCAGCAGCCGCGGUAAUACAGAGGGUGCGAGCGUUAAUCGGAUUUACUGGGCGUAGAGCGUGCGUAGGCGGCUUUUUAAGUCGGAUGUGAAAUCCCUGAGCUUAACUUAGGAAUUGCAUUCGAUACUGGGAAGCUAGAGUAUGGGAGAGGAUGGUAGAAUUCCAGGUGUAGCGGUGAAAUGCGUAGAGAUCUGGAGGAAUACCGAUGGCGAAGGCAGCCAUCUGGCCUAAUACUGACGCUGAGGUACGAAAGCAUGGGGAGCAAACAGGAUUAGAUACCCGGGUAGUC
rnacentral:rRNA from 1 species